AGCAGCCGCAGUAAUAAGAAGGGGGCUAGCGUUGUUCGGAAUUACUGGGCGUAAAGCGCACGUAGGCGGACAUUUAAGUCAGGGGUGAAAUCCCGGGGCUCAACCCUGGAACUGCCUUUGAUACUGGGUGUCUCGAGUCCGAGAGAGGUGAGUAGAAUUCCGAGUGUAGAGGUGAAAUUCGUAGAUAUUCGGAGGAACACCAGUGGCGAAGGCGGCUCACUGGCUCGGUACUGACGCUGAGGUGCGAAAGCGUGGGGAGCAA
rnacentral:rRNA from 1 species